rfam:Canis lupus familiaris chromosome 18, whole genome shotgun sequence.
GUGCUUGCUUCGGCAGCACAUAGACUAACAUUGGAACAAUACAGAGAAGACUAGGAUGGCCUCUAUGCCAAGAUGACUUGCAAAUUCAUGAAGUGUUCCAUGUUUUC